rnacentral:rRNA from 1 species
AUUGAACGCUGGCGGCAUGCUUUACACAUGCAAGUCGAACGGCAGCACGGGUGCUUGCACCUGGUGGCGAGUGGCGAACGGGUGAGUAAUGCAUCGGAACGUGCCCAUGAGUGGGGGAUAGCCCGGCAAAAGCCGGAUUAAUACCGCAUACGCCCUUAGGGGGAAAGCGGGGGAUCUUCGGACCUCGCGCUAUUGGAGCGGCCGAUGUCGGAUUAGCUAGUAGGUGAGGUAAAGGCUCACCUAGGCGACGAUCCGUAGCUGGUCUGAGAGGAUGAUCAGCCACACUGGGACUGAGACACGGCCCAGACUCCUACGGGAGGCAGCAGUGGGGAAUUUUGGACAAUGGGCGCAAGCCUGAUCCAGCCAUGCCGCGUGAGUGAAGAAGGCCUGG